rnacentral:rRNA from 1 species
CGAGCAUUUGCCAGAAUGUCUUCAUUAAUCAAGAACGAAAGUCAGAGGUUCGAAGGCGAUUAGAUACCGCCCUAGUUCUGACCGUAAACUAUGCCAUCUAGCGAUCCGAUGGGGUAUUGUUGCCUUGUCGAGGAGCUUCCCGGAAACGAAAGUCUUUCGGUUCCUGGGGUAGUAUGGUUGCAAAGCUGAAACUUAAAGAAAUUGACGGAAUGGCACCACCAGGAGUGGAGCCUGCGGCUUAAUUUGACUCAACACGGGAAAACUCACCCGGCCCGGACACCGUAAGGAUUGACAGAUUGAAAGCUCUUUCUCGAUUUGGUGGUUGGUGGUGCAUGGCCGUUCUUAGUUGGUGGAGCGAUUUGUCUGGUUUAUUCCGAUAACGAGCGAGACUCUAGCCUGCUAAAUAGUGGCUGGAUUUUUACGUCCAGUCUACUUCUUAGAGGGAUAAGCGGUGUUUAGCCGCACGAGAUUGAGCGAUAACAGGUCUGUGAUGCCCUUAGAUGUCCGGGGCUGCACGCGCGCUACAAUGGAAGAAUCAGCUGGCCUAUCCAUUGCCGAAAGGCAUUGGUAAACCGUUGAAACUCUUCCGUGACCGGGAUAGGGAAUUGUAAUUAUUUCCCUUGAACGAGGAAUUCCUAGUAAGUGUGAGUCAUCAGCUCACGCUGAUUACGUCCCUGCCAUUUGUACACACCGCCCGUCGCUGUCCGGGACUGAGCUGUCUCGAGAGGACUGCGGACUGCUGUAUCGAGGCCUUCGGGUCGCGUUAUGGCGGGAAACAGUUCAAUCGCAAUGGCUUGAACCGGGUAAAAGUCGUAACAAGGUAUCUGUAGGUGAACCUGCAGAUGGAUCAUCGUCGAAGCCUUAUGGUUCCUUUGAUCCUGAGAAACCAACGUGCUAGUCUUCACGACUUUGUCGGGAAGGUUGGGAGUAUCGCCCCCCGUUACAGCCCUACG